rnacentral:rRNA from 1 species
UACGAAGGGGGCUAGCGUUGCUCGGAAUCACUGGGCGUAAAGCGCACGUAGGCGGAUUGUUAAGUCAGGGGUGAAAUCCUGGAGCUCAACUCCAGAACUGCCUUUGAUACUGGCGAUCUCGAGUCCGGGAGAGGUGAGUGGAACUGCGAGUGUAGAGGUGAAAUUCGUAGAUAUUCGCAAGAACACCAGUGGCGAAGGCGGCUCACUGGCCCGGUACUGACGCUGAGGUGCGAAAGCGUGGGGAGCAAAUAGG